rnacentral:lncRNA from 1 species
ACAUAAUCAAAUUAAGUUCAUACAAAUGUAAAUAAAAUCUUAACAAUUAGUCAAUUACAUCAAUAAAAUAAAUAAUGUCUUAACAAAAGAAAAUCCAAGCAAUAAAUCUAAAAUAUGAAACUUAAAUAUCUCCAACAACAAGACAACCUGUGAACCCCGCGAGUCAAACUCACAUAAUUCGCGGGUUAAGCGGGAUAGACCCAAAAAUAUGACAUAACCAUGAACCGUUUAAAAAAAUUAGUCUAUUAUCCGCGCGGAUCGCGGAUUCCAUGAACUAGUUUAUGGACCUGAAUCCGUUUACCCACCCCUAUAUGGACCCAACCCAAGUAUUUAAUAUUUGAUGUGAUAUGAUGUCAAUGUCAAAGGUUACAUAGUUCUUGUACUUUCAAUAAGACCGGGAAAAAAAACUUAACUUUGACAGAGCAAGGUUUAGACUUUAGAGAGAAAAAAUGAAAAGAAAAAGAAGUACUCGGGAAGGCUUUAUGAUAUGGUAACUGCACC